GCCCGUUAAUGGGUGAUGGCGUGCCUUUUGUAGAAUGAACCGGCGAGUUACGAUUUGAUGCAAGGUUAAGCAGUAAAUGUGGAGCCGUAGCGAAAGCGAGUCUGAAUAGGGCGUUUAGUAUUUGGUCGUAGACCCGAAACCAGGUGAUCUACCCUUGGUCAGGUUGAAGUUCAGGUAACACUGAAUGGAGGACCGAACCGACUUACGUUGAAAAGUGAGCGGAUGAACUGAGGGUAGCGGAGAAAUUCCAAUCGAACCUGGAGAUAGCUGGUUCUCUCCGAAAUAGCUUUAGGGCUAGCCUCAAGUGAUGAUUAUUGGAGGUAGAGCACUGUUUGGACGAGGGGCCCCUCUCGGGUUACCGAAUUCAGACAAACUCCGAAUGCCAAUUAAUUUAACUUGGGAGUCAGAACAUGGGUGAUAAGGUCCGUGUUCGAAAGGGAAACAGCCCAGACCACCAGCUAAGGUCCCAAAAUAUAUGUUAAGUGGAAAAGGAUGUGGCGUUGCCCAGACAACUAGGAUGUUGGCUUAGAAGCAGCCAUCAUUUAAAGAGUGCGUAAUAGCUCACUAGUCGAGUGACACUGCGCCGAAAAUGUACCGGGGCUAAACAUAUUACCGAAGCUGUGGAUUGUCCUUUGGACAAUGGUAGGAGAGCGUUCUAAGGGCGUUGAAGCAUGAUCGUAAGGACAUGUGGAGCGCUUAGAAGUGAGAAUGCCGGUGUGAGUAGCGAAAGACGGGUGAGAAUCCCGUCCACCGAUUGACUAAGGUUUCCAGAGGAAGGCUCGUCCGCUCUGGGUUAGUCGGGUCCUAAGCUGAGGCCGACAGGCGUAGGCGAUGGAUAACAGGUUGAUAUUCCUGUACCACCUAUAAUCGUUUUA
rnacentral:rRNA from 1 species